rnacentral:lncRNA from 1 species
CACUAGAGUACUUAUUUCCAGAAGGGAAUGACUUAUUAUAUUGCCGGGUUAUAAAAGGGAGUCUUCCUUUCAUUGCUUGGUGCACACUUCCUUUUCCUCAUAGUUACUUUCUCUGGGAGAAUAACCCCGAGCCUGAAUACCUGAAUAGAAGGCCAAGUAGCUCCCAUUCCAAAAACCUUAGAUUUUAGGAAGAAUAAAUCAUCAUAGCAAGGGGAGAGCCGCUUGGGAAAGGGAUCGAACGAGAAGCUUUGGUCCCAAGACUUGGAUGAUGACUUACCGGUUUAGGACUGAACAUCUUCGGAUCAACCAGUCAUAUAUUCUUUAACCGUCUUCUAAGCCCAAGCGAGAUGAUCAGAUAUAGUCUGAAGGUACCCGAUCAGCAAUUUAAGGUAUUUUCUCUACCAAUCAAUUGCACUUGAUCUUUCUAGCAGCUUACUGGACAAGAUUGUAUGGGCAGUACCGGAACGUGCCGCCUUGAGCUUGGUUCCGAGAUUCUAGUCUACUUCCGUACAUCAGUGAUUUCGAG